GAGGGUAUACGUUCAAGUGGUAGAACACAUGCUUAGCCUGCAUGAGGUCCUGGGUUCAAUCCCCAGUACCUCCU
rnacentral:tRNA from 1 species